rnacentral:rRNA from 1 species
UACGGAAGGCAGCAGUGGGGAAUAUUGCACAAUGGGCGAAAGCCUGAUGCAGCUAUGCCGCGUGUAUGAAGAAGGCCUUAGGGUUGUAAAGUACUUUCAUCGGGGAGGAAAAAACAAAACUAAUAAUUUUAUUUCUUGACGUUACCCGAAAAAGAAGCACCGGCUAACUCCGUGCCAGCAGCCGCGGUAAUACGGAGGGUGCUAGCGUUAAUCAGAAUUACUGGGCGUAAAGAGCACGUAGGUGGUUUUUUUAAAGUCAGAUGUGAAAUCCCUGGGCUUAACCUAGGAACUGCAUUUUGAAACUGAAAUACUAGAGUAUCGUAGAGGGAGGUAGAAUUCUAGGUGUAGCGGUGAAAUGCGUAGAUAUCUGGAGGAAUACCUGUGGCGAAAGCGGCCUCCCAAACGAAUACUGACACUGAGGUGCGAAAGCGUGGGGAGCAAACAGGGAUUAGAUACC